rnacentral:lncRNA from 1 species
UUCGCCAAUCCCGCGUGCAGGAGGCUUUGGCCAAUCCGCACCGCGCGCAACGCAGCCAAUCCCUCGCCCUCGUCUCACCCCCGCACCAGCCGCCACACGAACCCUAGCCCCCGUUCCCCAAAAUCCCACAGCCUCUCCCGCCUUCUCCACCCCUCCUCCACGCAUCACCAUGACCUAGGGUUGAGGAGGUCAGGUCUUCUCGCUGGGAUGGAGGAGCUGGGGAGGGUCGAGAGGCCGGCGGUGGGGAGCAGCUAGGCCGGCCUGCCGUCUUUGCCUCCUCUCCGUACUCCACAGGAGGUGUGCAGGUUGCUGCUGCGACCCUCCAUUCCCUUCUCUGCUGGUGCUCCUCUCACCGUCUCACGCCGUCAUGCUUGCGUCGACCACCGCGUCCACCCUCAACUCUCUUCGUUGCUCAAGGCGGCAGAAGGACGGAUGGCGGUGGUCCGAGAUCUACUGCCUCCAUCCCUGGCCCGUCAGUGUCGCAGCUAGCCGUACCGAUGGCGCUGCUCAACCUACGGGUGCGUCUCUCUGUCCAUCUGAAUGAUAUGGUGGUGUUUUGCAGGGUCGGAGGUGGUAGAGUUUGCUGAUAGCCAGAUCUAUGUAACGCCAUGACAACUUAUUUGUAAGAAAAAAUAUGUUUUAUUUUGUUCGGUGUGCUGUUUCCUAUUCCAUGCUCUAAAUAUUUCAUGUUCGAUUCAUCGACAUCCUUGAAUUGCAUAACGAUGACGGCAUGUUUGGUGUUUAUAUUUUUUUUAGAGAAAAGGCAUACGCCCGACUUUAUAAAUAAAGCCAUAAGGCAGGUAGCAACAACAUCACAAAUAAGUAUCAAACACACCCAAGCCCCACCGACGGGCGAGACGACAGAAGAUAAAGUCAAGUACAUGGCUCCCUCGCCAGUACACGGCACGCAGGCCGGAAGAGAAAGAUCCAACUAAAGCUAAAGCAUCCGGCCCAAAAGAAGCAAUUAAGCAUCCUGCUCUUGUCUGCAUAACUGAGAAGCCGUAGUCCGGAUUUUAUAGAUCAGCAUAGAGAGCGCCUCUUGGUCGUCGACCUUAGUUAAUGAUUUCCACUGCUGCAGGAAAGCACACGAUUUAAAUAAGCAGUCAGCCGGUUUAGCCGGAAACACGUGCUCGAUAGUAAAUUUGUUCCUAGUUGCCCGCAGGGACUAGCAUAAAGCACCCAAGCCCACCCAAAAGAUGCGCCUAGAUACGCCGGAAAGGUUGGAAGCCAAGUUGCGCAACUCGGCAAAGGAAGCAGGGGCCCAAGAGACACGUAGCCAAUCCCGCACGCAACUCCAAAUGAGCUUAGCCAGGUGACAGUGAAAAAAGAUAUGUUCCGUGUCUUCCACAUCACCGCAAAGGGCACAAAACUGGGAGCCCAGCCCAUUUCUCUUACGAAUUUGAUCAGCCGAGGGCAACCGGCCUUGGAAAGCUUGCCACAAGAAAAUUUUAAUCUUAGGGGGAAUACGGGCCUUCCAAAUUUGGGAGAAACGAUUGGUAGGCAAGCCACCAACAAGCUUAGAGUAUAGAGAUUUAACAGAAAAACGCCCAGAGGCAGAAAGCGGCCAGAGCACCGAAUCCCUGACCGUCGAGAGCGUAGGGAAGAGGGCAGUAAGACGUUGCCAAUCUUCAAACUCUACAGGCGACAGGGAGCGACGAAAGGCCAGGUUCCACCUCUGGGAAGCUAGCUUCGCAAUAGAAAUAUUAGGAUCAGAGCAGUAAGAGAAAAGGGUAGGGAAGGUCACCGAGAGAGGUGAAUCUCCACACCACCAAUCUAGCCAAAACCUAAUCGAGGAUCCGUCCCCAACAACAAACUUAACGAAAGAUUGAAAAACAGGUCUAACUUUGACCAGAGACUUCCAAAACUGAGAGCCACCACGCGGCAGUGCAAACAUCGGGCUCGAGGACGGAAAAUAUUUAGCCUUAAGGAUCGACAGCCAGAGGGGUUGAUCCUGAGCGCUCAUAAUCUUCCACCACCAUUUAAUCAUCAAGCAUUGAUUCAUGAUGGAGGUAUUAAGAAUCCCUAACCACCCAAGGUUUUUGGGCCUACACAUCAAUUUCCAUUUGACGAAGCGAUAUUUGCGACGAUUGUUCGCUGCAUUCCAGUAAAACGCCCCACGGUGUUUAUCAAAACCAGCAUGAAUCCCAGCCGACAAGAGAUAGAAGCCCAUAAGAAACAUGGGGAGGGAGGAGAGGCAAGCAUUAAUUAGAGCCACUUUACCCGCAUUCGUAUUAUAUCUACCCCGCCAGGGAAGGACCCUGUUCCCCACCUUUGUGACUACCAGGGCAAAAUCUUUGGCAUGAAGCACGUCUGGGGAAAUAGGCAACCCAAGUACUUGAACGGAUAGGAGCCCAGCUUACAGUUGAGAAGGUGGGCCACUCGCAUGGCUUCCGACUCGUCCACACCAGUAACAACCACUUCGCUUUUGGCGAAGUUAAUCUUAAGCCCCGACAUCGCCUCAAAGCAUAAUAAAAUAAACUUGAGGUGGGCAAGGCAGGCCUCAUUCAGCUCAACCAUAAUAAUAGUAUCGUCCGCGUAUUGGAGAUGGGUCAGACCAUGGGGGAUGAGAUUAGAACUAACCGGAGUAAUGUGCCCACAAGUAGCUGCCCUGGAGAGCAGGCGAGAUAAAGCAUCCGCAACAAAAUUGAAUAGGAUGGGAGAGGCAGGGUCGCCUUCCCGUAGGCCCCUACCAUUGGCAAAGAAUUUGCUAACCUGACCAUUAAUAUUGAUGACAGUGUGGCCUCCCGAGACCAACUGCAUAAUUCUAUGGACAAGGGGCCCCUCAAAUCCUUUGGCCAAUAAAACUACGUAAAAAAGGCCAACUCACCGAAUCAUAGGCCUUCUCAAAGUCUAGUUUAAGAAUCACCGCUUUCGACUUGCGAAUCUUAAGGUCAUGAACGAUUUCAUGCAAGCAAAGAACCCCGUCCAGAAUGAAACGUCCCUUAAUGAAAGCCGACUGAAAAGGCUGAUGGUACGGUGGGCAAUGGGGGAGAGGCGAGUGGCUAACCCUUUGGCCGGAAACUUAGCGAAGUUAUUAAUAAGGGCAAUCGGCCUAAAUUGCGAGAUCAAGUCCGCGCCCUUGACUUUAGGAAUAAGGGUAAUGACAGCGUAGUUAAGGCGAGAGAUAUCCACCGUACCCAACCAGAACCCUUGGAUAAUUGUACAAAUGAGAGCCCGCAACUGCGGCCAGAAUUUUUUAAAGAAGGGGAUAGAAAAACCAUCGGGGCCGGAAGCAGCAUUUGGGUUAGCCGAGCUAAUCACCUGCCAGAUCUGUUCGUCAGAUAAGGGGACCAUCAGGCCCGAAUUUUUGCCCGGAGAGAUCUUAGAACCCUCAUCCUAGAAACCAGAGCAGAGGUCAAGCCCAGGAUCCGGCUUAGAGCCGAGUAGAUUGGAAUAGAAGCUAACAAUGUGAUUCAUGAUGAGGGACUGGUCCGAAAUUCUAACGCCGUCAAUCAACAGAGUGUUAAUGAAACAUCUGCGGCGUCUGCCAUUCGCGAUCGCAAAGAAAUAUGCCGUCAUAGCAUCACCCUUCAAGGUCCAGUUGAGGGCACCUCGUUGGCGCCAGUAAAUUUCUGACUGUUGGUGAAGCAGCAUCAAAGCGUCUUCCAGGGAGUAUCGAGUAGCCCACUGAGAGGCGGAGAGCCCAGAUGUGUCAGCAGAUUGGUCCAAAUCCCGGAUUUGAGAUUCAAGGGAAUCUUUGUCUCUACGAAGCUCGGCCGCCCUGUUCCGAGACCACCACCUCAAGAAUUUACGAAGCUCAUAAGACAACUUGUGCCAAUCAUCCAUGGGACCAAAGGAGCGAUGAGGAGAAGAGAGAAGAUUAGAGAUCUUAGAAACCAUCAUGUCACAAAAACCCUCAACAACAAGCCAAGAAGCAUCAAACUGGAAACGGGAGGGAGAAACGAGGGCAAGUAUACCGGCAUCCAGGAUCAGGGGAACAUGAUCAGAGCCAACGGCAGGCCUGGCCUUAAGCAACGCGCGGGGAAACAACGAAUCCCACUGGUCAGAAACAAAUACCCUAUCCAGCACCGACCGGACAGGUGAGGAUUGAUGGUUAGACCAAGUGAACCGCGCCCCCACCCUAGGGAGCUCACGAAGCGCGCAAUUACUAAUGAAAUCAUUAAAAGCAUUGGCAAGAGGCCAAGAGAAAUUAGGACUGUUCUUGUCGGCCGGAGAAUGUAACAAAUUGAAAUCACCCCCAAUUAAAAGAGGAAUAUUACAUGCUUCAAUCUUAAUCGAAAGUUCAUCCAAAAAAAGAGGAGCAAGCGUGUGAUCCGCGGGGCCGUAUACCACCAUAAAUUCCCACAAAGUGUUCAGCUGACGAUGAUGAACCACACAGCUAGCCCAAAAGAUGCCAUGAUCAAAAGCAAUGAAAUCAAACACGUCCCGCUUGGACCCAAUCAAGAUACCCCCAGAAUGACCCAAGCAGGGAGAAAGUGCCAGUCAAACCUAUCCAUCCCAGCUAGCGCAGAAAGUUCAGAAGGGGAAAAUGAUUCCUUAAACGUUUCGACCAACCCUAAAAUGUCAAUAUGUUCACCACAAACCAAGUCACGAAUCUGGUCACGACGCCCCCUAGCACUGAAACCACGAAUAUUCCAGAAGAGAGCUCUCAUUUGAAGGAAAGGUUUUUAAUACGAAGACUCGAUCUGCACGGGGCCACACAAGGCUUAGAUCGCUUGGGACGACCGAGCUUAACAAUGGCAGGGGGCAGACGACUGGCCACAACCAUUCGUCGCCUCAAUUCCCCCGGCCUGGCCCUGAGCACCAGCAGGGCCAGCAACAUUCGCGGCCUCCAAGGCCUUAGCAAUAGCAGCCUGGGCUGCCUCAUUGGCCCUAAUGACAGAAAGAAGGUGAGAGGGAGAGCCCAUCCCCGGUUUAGCAGCCACCCCAAUAUCAGACAUGAUAUGCAACAAAUGAUCAUCUGAUAAUGCAGGUAAAACAAGGCGAACAGGAGAGGCAGGGAGAGAUGGUUGGGCAGACGAACCUGUAGGAGGGAGGUCUCUGGCCGCGGCACGCCGUUCCGCCCGCACCGCCACCGAAACGCCAGAAUCGCGCACGCGCCGGCCCUUCCGCGUCGUGGACACCGGAGAUCGCAGCAUAGGGAGCACCGGACCGGCGACACCGGCCCGGGGCCAGACCCCGAGGCGGAGCCCAGAUCCUUGUCCAACCGACGAGCCAGACCCGCCGCCGAAAGCUUGGAGGUAGAGGAGGCCCGACUCUUAGCCGAAAAUUUCUGGACCGACGACUUCUUCUUCUUCUUAGUUGAGAGCUCGGUGGAACGCAGGGGGGAAGUGGGAAGAUCCUCAAUCCCAGAGAAGGACGGAGACUGCGGGCGAGUAGGCACAUUGGAACAAACACCAGAGAAUGGGGUCCCCUUACCAACAGCAGCGUCACGGGAAGCCAGGUCCUUCUGAGGGUUAGGAGCAGGGGCAUUGUCCUUGAGCAGCUCACGUUCAUCCGGAUCCAACUUAUCCCAUUCAGAUUGAGUAAAACGCGGAUCAGUACCUCCACUUGGGUUAUGCCCCCCAGCCGAGCCAUCCCCAUGCAUGUCAUCUUGGUCCGAAGGCUUGGAAGGAGGAGGCGGAGGUGGAACACGGGGUUCAGCACCCUCCACCCGAACCCGAAGUCGCACACCCUCAGGAGAUGGGAAAACAUCCACGGAACCAUGAACACAGACGGGGUCGAUGCAUCAUACAUUGAGACGAACCGGAUCAACCUUGCCCAAAGAUUCCGAAUCCACUUCCAAAGGCUUGCCAAUGAGCUUACCAAACGCCAUCAUGAACUCCACAGAUCGAAGCCCAACUGGCAAGUCGUCAACUAGCACCCAAAUCUUGCUGAGAGGGCCCACCGCCUUUGCACCACAAGUAGCCGCUUUGACAGAUACCACAAGCUGGUUCAGGGGGAGAGUAAAACUGGUGCACGAGGAGAUCAUCCUUAGACAGUCCUUGGAGGGGAAAACCACUGCAAAUUCAUACUCUGAAAGCUGGCGCACCUGCCAGUCCCAGCCACCGUUGUCCCAUAUUUUCAAACCUUCCAGGAGGGUCUGCGGAGAAAUCAUCUGGCCACACACCGUGAUGAUGGCCGCGUUAGAGAGGGACGGCGCAGCCAUCACCACAGGAACAUCAGCAUCCAGAGCGAAGAACGAGCAUCUAGGUAAACCCAAGCCAAACUGUAUGAAGGAGGGGCUCUUGGUACGGUUACGGCAGUCCACAGUAAGAUGACCAUCGGAGCGAAAAAUGAGGCAGAAGGGUGGGUUAGUGCAUCUAGAUUGGAAGUGGUUCGGGCGGUGGCAGGCAAAGCAAGUCAGGGUCGGAGAAGGGCCCGAGGAAACAGGAUGCUGGCGGGGAGGGGGAGGCGGCGGCGGCAGGAUGCCAUCACCACGGAUCGCAGAAGGGGCACCUGGAGCAGAAGGAGGAGGACGUCGCUCCCCAGCCUGCGAAGAGGAAGAGCCAGGCCCGAAGCGCGGCCCCGAGCGAGAGGCAGCGCCAGCCACAAACGAGCGAGGGGGUGGCCGAGGCGGAGGGACCGGGCCCCUGGCCGGAGCGGGACGCGGCGCCGACGAGGAGGAGCCACCGCCAGCCGAAGCAACAGCGGCCUCCCACGGAUCUAGCCCCGACCCCGCCGCACCACCAGAUCCAGGGAGCGUCGUCCCAGAUCUGGCCACGGAGCGCUCCGGCCCCGCCUCCCAAUCCUCCCGCUCGCGCGACCGCUCGCGCACCGCCCGCUCAGAUUCGAGCUUCGACCGCAGCUCCGCCUCAUAGGCCAGAUCGACCCCAUUGCCCGGCGAAGCUUCACGGGCCCGCUUGCUGCCCGAAAGGGCCUCAGAGGAGGAACCCCUAGAUUUGUCCAUGGCGAUCACUUCAGCGGAGGAGAGGAGGAGAGGGGGUGGGGAAGGAGCGGAUCUGGAGAAAUGGCGGAUAGGGCGAUGCGCCCUGCGGAUAUCGGCGGCGGAAGCAGGAAACCCUAGGAAGGGGGGAGAGGCACCGCGACGCACCCAUAUAUAGCCACAACAGGCAAGGCCAGAAAGGGCCGAAUGGGCCGAAACGGGGCCGCAGGCCAGGGAAGGGGACGGACGCGAAGCAGUGGCCACAACCAGCUGCCCUGGGCCCAUAGACGGAAGGGGGGAAGAAGACUCGAGGGACGACAAAACCGGGGGCCCGGGCGGCCCAGCCCGAAUCGAACCAGGCGCCACCAGGCCCAAGUGCCCACCAAGGCCCACCUCAACCGCAGGGCAGACCGGAUCUAGGGUUAGGCCACCAACCGCCCCCGCACACGCCGGCGCGACCGCCGCCACCGGCGCCGGCCCUGGCCGGAGAGGAGGAGGGCGAACAGGGCCAGCGACCGGAGACGCCACAUCGACCGAAUCCAACAUCACAGGGGACGGGGAAGGACCGAGGAGACCACGAUCGGGGCAAGGAGCCGGGCCCCGACCCGCACACCGCCGGCGCCGACCAACGCGCAUCCACCCCGACGACCCAGAGGGAAAUGACACCGGUCGGCCCCGGCCACCCGGAGCAAAUUUCCGGGCGCGGCCCAACGCCGGCACGGGCGGCACCACCGACACCACCAUCGACGGAGCGCACUCCUCCGAAUCAGACUCUGACUCCUCCGCGUCGCCCAGCGCCUAGAAACGCGAGCCGGGGAAGGACGCUGCCGCAGAAGAGCAAGGAGAACCAACCCGCCCCGCAGACAACGGAGGGGGCGGCGGGAAGGAGGGAAGGGCGGGGGAGCCAUGGGUAACGGCGAGGGCAGGGGAGGAGGGGAGCGGGGGGACGAAGGGAGAGGAGCCAUCUUUUCCUCACCUGCCACGCUCUCGCCCGUCCACCUUCACGUUGACAAUUGAGGCAUGUCGUGUUUAUAUUUUUGACAGCCAAAUACGAAUAGGUGCACUUAACUGUUUGAGGAAAUGCCAACUGAAAGCUAAAUUCAGUUAGAACUAGCUGGACACAAUAAAUAUUUGUUAGCUAGGUUACUUGCCUAAUGAAGCUCCCAUGUGGACCAAUUACUGCUCUGUGUUAUUGGAAUUUGUUUGUAGUGUUUGCUCAGGCUGAAGAAAUUCAUGUCAUUUUCUCCAUUUAUUUCCUUUUCUGCGUAAGUGCUACCUUUGGCAAUUGCUCUGUCCAGCCUAUUAAUCACUGAGAAAGGUUUUGAUGCAAUCUGCUGAGCAAGCUCACAUUGUCGAUAGCAGGAUCAGAAGAUGCUUUACACAUGAUUGUGUGAUGCUCAGAGACAUUUUGCAUAGAGGAAACUUCUUGUGAAGCUUGAUUUUAUUCAGGUGCCUAACUGACUACCGCUUCCUCGGCGUUUGUGCUUACCAGUAUGCCGGAAACUUCUUGUGAAGCUCGCCGUUUCAGGUGCCUAACUGACGCUUUCUAUGUUCAUGCUUAUUUGCAGCCAGAUAGUGAUUUUGGGCUGAAAGAUUAUUGCAAGCUUAGAAUCUUUUAAUGGUCCUUAUUGACAUGACUCGUAUGAUAAACUUCCAAAAUAUUCAUUUAACGUUGCUAUUUUUCUUUUCAGAGCCAUAUGAUUUUUUCAUAGAAACAGGAGCAGAGUAAAAUGGACACAACUUCUGUUGCAUCUGAGGUAUAUAAUUGGCACUCUACGUUGAAUGUUGUAACAUAUUUACAGCUGGAUUCAGUUAUAAAUCAGAAAUAAAAGGCGUUCAAGUUUCA